rnacentral:tRNA from 1 species
AAAGAAUUAGUUAAUUUAUAACAUUAGUAUGUCAAUCUAAAAUUAUUAGUAUAACUAAUAUUCUUUG